AAAGCUUGGUUGCCCGUACCGCAAACCGACACUGGUAGGUGGGUCGAGUAGACCAAGGCGACCGGAAGAACCCUCGUUAAGGAAUUAGGCAAAAUAACCUCGUAACUUCGGGAGAAGAGGUGUCUCCUGGCGUGAAUUCAAUCCGAAGGAGCGCUGGGGGAUCGCAGUGAAAUGGCUCUAGUGACUGGUUAACUAAACCACAGGUCUCUGCUAAGCUGCAAGGCGAAGUAUAGGGGCUGACACCUGCCCAGUGCCGGAAGGUUAAGGGGAGAGGUUAGGCGCAAGCCGAAGCUUUGAACCGAAGCCCCGGUGAACGGCGGCCGUAACUAUAACGGUCCUAAGGUAGCGAAAUUCCUAGUCGGGUAAGUUCCGACCCGCACGAACGGUGUAACAACUGGAGUACUGUCUCAACGAGGGAUCCGGCGAAAUUGAAAUGGCAGUGAAGAUGCUGCCUACCCGCAGUAGGACAAAAAGACCCCGUGGAGCUUUACUACACUUUGGCAUUGUGUUAGAACUUCGUCUGCGUAGCAUAGGUGGGAGGCUUAGAACCUGGGCUUCUGGGCUCGGGGGAGCCGCAAUGUGAAAUACCACCCUGAUGAAGUUUUGACCCUAACCUCAGACCGUAAACCGGCUGGGGGACCGUGCCAGACGGGUAGUUUGACUGGGGCGGUCGCCUCCCAAAGGGUAACGGAGGCGCCCAAAGGUUCGCUCAGGCUGAAUGGAAACCAGCCGCAGAGUGUAAAGGCACAAGCGAGCUUGACUGCAAGGCCAAUACGCCGAGCAGAGACGAAAGUCGGGCUUAGUGAUCCCACGGUUCAGAGUGGAAUGGCCGUGGCUUAUCAGACAAAAGCUACCCCGGGGAUAACAGGCUGGUGAGAUCCAAGAGUUCACAUCGACGAUCUCGCUCGGCACCUCGAUGUCGGCUCAUCGCAUCCUGGGGCUGUACAAGGUCCCAAGGGUUGGGCUGUUCGCCCAUUAAAGCGGUACGUGAGCUGGGUUCAGACCGUCGUGAGACAGGUCGGUCUCUAUCAACUGUGGGCGUAGGGGACUUGAGGAAGCCUGUCCUUAGUACGAGAGGACCGGGAUGGACGAACCUCUGGUGUGUCGGUUGUCGCGCCAGCGGCAUGGCCGAGUAGCUACGUUCGGUUGAGAUAACCGCUGAAUGCAUCUAAGUGGGAAACUCGUUCCAAGAUUAAGUCCCCCAUGGCGUAAGCCAGUAAGACCGCAGGUAGACGACCUGCUAUAUAGGCGUCCGCGUGUAAACUUUCAAGCCGCAAGGCAAGGGGUGAGCGUAGGCGUCCUAAUCGGUCGAGGGCUUAGUCCA
rnacentral:rRNA from 1 species